rnacentral:lncRNA from 1 species
UACAGAGUGAGAUGUAAAAUAGAACUCCUGAUUUGUCUUUCUCCUCAGUCCUUCACCUUCCCCAUUGACCCCCAGUGAAUGGCAACACCAUCUAUUCCAUUUCUGCUGGCAAAAACUCAGGACUUUGCUGUUGUUACAGGUUAGGUCCACUAUUCCCCAGACACAAGCCACUGUCAAUUCCUAUCCAUGCUACCUGCCGACACAUCUGAAAUCUACCCUCCUCUACCUGCAUGACUCCACCCUCCUCCAGACCCCCAGCAUUCUUUCCUGCCCUCUUGGCUCUUUAUUUCCAUUCUCCAUGAUCCAGCACAGGAUUAAAAUCAGGUUUUAAAACAGAAAUCAAAUCAUGGUGCUUCUUUGUUAAAACUGCCCAAAUGGCUUCCUUACACUUAGGAUAAGAACCCAAUUCUUUUCCUUGGCCCAAAGACCACCAUCUAGCCCCUGCUGACCUCUCCAGCUUCAGUUCACAUUAAUCCCUAAUUCCCUACCUUUUCUCACUGUGAUUCAGCCACACUAUCCCUUUUCAAAUAAGUAAAAUCACUCCAGUUUUAGGACUUUUGCACCACUUGUCACCUUUCCUUGGAAUAUCCUUCCCUCAAGCUUUACAUAGCCGAUUCCCCCAGCCAUUCAGAUCCUUAUUUAAAUAGCAUAUCUUCAGAGAGGGCUUCCUGGACCAUUCAAUUUAGAGUAACAUGACUCCUCCCCCAUACCCACAUACUCUCUCAUAUCAUCUUGUUUUAGGUUCUCCUUACAUGUACCACCAGAUUUUCUGUUUAUUUUUUUUACUCCAUCUCCCCCCAAUUAUAAUGAAACUUUAUAAGGGCGGAAAAUACUGUGAUCCCAGCACAUAGAACAGAGCCUGACACAUAAUAGACACUCAGAAUAUUUCUAGAGUGAGUGAAUGAAUGAUCCCAUGGUAGCCUCAACAUGGACUGAGUGCCAAGAGCCUUGUGUUCAGCUCUAACCUGGUUGCUCUCAAACUACGUGACUUUGAACAUGUCACGUAUCUGCUCUGGGCCUCCAUCUUCACAUCUGUAAAAUGAGGUCUGACUUCAUAAUUCUCAAAGUUCUUUCCAGCCUCCAGAUACUUGAUCCUAUCAAUCUUUUCAUAUUGUUGAACAUAAAAAUCUGUCAACGAUGGUGAUGACAGCAAUGACCCAACUAAAGCUGAUGAAUUAUUUCUUUAAUCUCAUGCAACAUCCAAGAUUACAUUUGGUUAUUUAUGAUUUGUACUUAAACUACACAUCCAAAAAGAUUUGUGUGGCUUAGGUUUCGGACUCACUUUCCCAAACGUGCCCUUACUUGUUUCAUUUAUACAGGGAGAAGAAUAAAUGUUCCCAUCAAGAUUGCUAUAUCACAGUGGGUCUGUCUGACUGCAAAGGAUAGAAAACUAAUUCAGUUCAACUAUAACAUGAAAUACAGGGAAAGCUGAGUAACUAAGGUGCAGGCAGGACAGCGAAAGAGCAGGGCCUCAGGUGCUGCUGGAACCAGAGACUCAAAUCCUACUACUGCUCCUUCCAGCUUUUUCUCUGCAUCCAUCAGUGUGUUGGCUACAUCCUCCUUUCUCAGUGUAGCCUAGCUCUUUCCACAUAGUCCCAGCAAAGCAUUGACCACACUUUGCCAUAACUGAUUUGUUUUAUUACUUAAUUUCAGCCUCUUCAAGUACAAUAAAGUUCAUUGAGGGAAAGGCUCUUCUUCACUUGUUAAUCCCUUGCUCCAACACAGUGCCUGGAGCCUAGAAGGUGCUCAAUAAAUGCUAAUAGAUAAAUGGAUGGUGUAGAAAACUUAGCCAUCACCUGCUCCAGAGUUUAAUACCCAACAGCUUCAAUUAUUGGAGAAAGGCUAGCAAAACCCUCUGGGACUCUCCUCAGAAAAGAAAAAAAAUAAAUCUCAGGAGAAGUGACUGUGUGGUCCAACUUUGGCAAGCAGCAGCCACCAUUGAACAUGAUGACAUCUCAGCAUCUGUGUGAAUUGGGGGAGGAGAUGCUUUUGGAAAAGGAUCAUGGAAUCAGAUUCCGCAGGUGCCAACACACUCGAAAAACUGUUGUGGAGGCCAAAUGAGACCUUGCAGAAGGGACUUUGAAAAGCUAUUAUGAAGGUGCCAUUUUUAUAGGUCAAAAUUAGUCCAACAGUGGCAAUUGUGUAUGUUUCAACUUAACUACAAAAGUGUUAAAAGUAUUACAUGGAUGUAAGAUGCAAUUAAUGAGAUUACAUGCCGGCACAAUAAGAAGGGAUAUUGUGUUUUUAAGAUGAAAGGUUAAAUUAAUUCCUUUUUGAAAUGAUGGUAGCUAAAAGAUUUACUGCUGCUAGCUUUAAAAGGAACAGUGCUAAGUGCAUUAUGAGGAUUAUCUUGUUAUUUCUUCCAGCACCUCCAUGAGGUAGAUACUGUAAUUAUCCCCAUUCUCCAGACAAGGAAAUUGAGAUUUGAUGAGAUUAAGUUAUAUGCUCCAGAUGACACAGCUCAAAAAGUGGCAGAACCAGGAUUGGAAUAUAGGUUUCUGGAAUCCAAUGUUAUUACACUACAUUAAGGAAGGGGUUGGAGGUCCAGCUCCUCCAUGAAAGCUAAUCCAUUGCUACGAGGAGGAAUGACGCUUUCUGUUACGUGUGAAUCCACAGACUUGGGUCAUCUGCAUUGUAUUAUAACUAGUAGUGAGUGUAUGUGCCACCCAAGACCAGACUCAUCUCCUUGAGGGCCCAUCUUAUUCAUCUUACCACUCAAAAUAAGCCUUAUGUUCUACCUACCAUGUGAAAGACACUCUCCAAAGGUUUAUUGAAGUGAAUGGGGUCGACAGACAAAUGGUAAUUUGAUAUCUCCAACAGGUAUAGCCCGUGCAUGGUUGUGGUGGUGAAGGGGAUGGAACAAUAAUAGCAACAUAGCAAUUAUAAAAACAGGUCUAUGUGUUGAGAGCCUAUUAUGUUUCAGAAGGUUAUGUCCAUUAUCUCUAGCUUUCAUAUUACCUUGCAAGGUAAGUGGUGGUCGUUAUCUUCAGGUCUUACCUCUUGAGAGCUGCAGAAUAUAUUAUUUCCAAAGUCUGUAAACAUCUGUGAUAUGAAAGCUGGGCCGUGACAAUGUGUUUGCUCCAACUAGGGUCACACAGAGCUUUUAACCUAAACUAUCUGCAGCCAGAAUUUCACAAAAUCCUAUGCUGGGCAUGCCCCCAAUUUCUCCUAGAUGCAAACUCCACCCACACUCCAGAGCCCUACAACUCUAUCCAGCAAAUGUUUGAUUUGAUUUUGUACAGGAACUUGCUUCUGAGCCAUGGAAUUUCAGAGCUGUGCCUGUGAGUCUGGAAUUUCAAUAUUAGCCUUUCUGACCUGGAUAGCUUUGAUCUCCCAAGUUUACACUCACAAGUAUCGAUAACAUGGCUCAUAUCCCAGACAAGAGCACCAGGUCUGCAGCCCAUGGCAGCCAAGUGUGUGCAUGUGUACACAGAUCUCUGCUGCGAUCAAAAUGAAUUUAGAUUACACAGGGCUUAUCUGAUGGUGGGGGAAGCCCCGCAUAUGCAGCAAAGAGACACAGCUCACUUUCGUGCAGUCAAUCCUGCUAGCUUCAUCCUACAGGACAGAAAUCACAAGUGAACUACAGCUGAACUCUGGCAAGACCAGGCGCUUGCAAUAUGGCCCGAUCCUCCUUCAUUUCUUAGUUUGCUUUCUUCUUGAGAAAGGCUGCUAUAGUUAGCCACCCUUGGCCAAGCAUCUAUCUUAUAUCAGGCACCUUACAUAUUUAUAUGAUUAUAAUAGUAAUAUGUUAACUUAUUAUACAUGCUAGUCACUUCCUUGCUUAAAUGCCUUCUGUGGUUUCUCAGUGUCUGCAGAAUAGAGUCGCCUGCCUUACCUGCCCAUAACCCAGUCCUUGCCUCUCUCUCUAAUCUCAUUGCCUGCCUCUCCAUCUCUCAUCCCAGUGUCUUUGAUAUACCAAAGCACUCCAAGCCUUCCAGACAGUGGGACUACUGCACAUCCUCUCCCUCGAUGGUAUGUGCUUUCCAGCUCUACUUUCCAGUAAAUACCUGCACCUUCUCCCUAAGAUGUGCAGAGUAUCUUUUAUUUUCCCUUUUAGAUCUAUACUCCAGCUUUCUCCAUUUGCUCUGUGCCCAGGAGGUUGGCCCAUGGAGAUGGCAUUAGUGGAUUCUUCACCAAUCAGGAGCUUCAGAAGGAGAGAGGGAAUGAGUUCCUCGUUGUAAGUCCUCUGGACCUGGCCAUGACCCUUGCUGCUCCUCUUAAGGUGGUUGGCUCUGCAGGACUCUCACUCCCCUUGUGGCAAAUGUUUGGCAACUACUAAGCUCCUGUUUCUCCCUUGUGAUUCUUCCACAUCUGUAGCUUUGCAGAUAAGCCCUCCUCUGAAUACACUAAGUGGAUGGGCCAUUGAGACCCUGACUGGUACACACUGACCCAGCGCAAACUCCAGGGAGCCCUUUGCAGGCACCUACCUGUUACAUCACAGUGCUGUCUGUCUGCUUCCUUCUCUGCCCCACCAGAUUGCUUCAUUUCACUUUGUUUUAAGUUGCCCACCCACAUUUAGUGAUCAGCCACUGCACCCUGGGCUGUGGUCUAGAAUUUGCAGAUUCUGGUUAAUAGAUGAUCAUUCCCGACCUUGAAGAUGCCCUCUCUCUAGUGCCGGAGAUAAGGCCUGGGCCCUGUUUGUAGCUCUGCACCCAGGACAAGUUCAGAGUCUGCUCAUGUUCAAAUCCCAGCUCUAGCACUGACGAGCAGUGUGAUCUAAACAAGUUCACCUCUCAGAGCCGCAGUUUCCUCAUCCAUAAAUGGAAAUAACAGCAGCUACCUCAGAGAGUGCUUGUAAGGAAUAACGAAGCACUCCGUAAGUGUCCUUAUUAUUAUUACAGCAGGUGCUUAGUUAGUACACAUUAAAUGAUGACUGAAUUCAUUAUCUCAUUUGAGCUCUACAGCAAACCUUCUUCCAUCCUUCCCUGCUAUAUGAAUUCCAAAGAGACAGCAAGGGAAUUCUUUUUUCCUAUUUCACAGAAGAAGGAAUUGGGAGUGAGUGAAUGAAGGAAGGAAUAGCUAAUCCACUCUGGGAGGAAGGAUUCCCCACUUCCUCUCAGAGGCUAUAGCUCGGCUGUUUGUCUGAAGAGCCUGGAGCCCUGUGCCCGGGAGAAGUGAUCCUGGCUUUCUCUCCAGCUUUCCAGCUCUGGGGGACGGUGCCAAGGGCUCACCUCGGUUCAGUUUCUGUCUAACCCAGUCUGGGUGCAGGUACUUCUGGACUUUGUAAACACUGGGCCUCUGGGCUCUGCCCCAGAAGCCCCCAGCUUCCCAGAACUGGUGGCCCCAGUUCCUGUUCAGCUGCUGCUUUUUCUGUAAGGCCCCUGCAAGCCUCACUGCCCCUUCUGGUAAGUGCAGGAGCCAGGAGGGAGGUUCCACUUUCACAUUCGCUACCACACCCACAGGAGGGAGAUUUCUCAGUGUGGAGGGGAAAUUUCCUUUCUCUUUAGGCCUAACCUCAAGCUCGUCAUUUUUUUCUGGACGUGCUUAAUUUUCUACUGAGGCUCAGGGCUCUCCCCCCUGCCCACAGCCUCCCUAGAUCACAACUUGACUCUGCUGCAGAGAUAAGAGAGAACUGUCACCCUGCUGAGCCCCUGCCACAGGCCUGUCCUGGGCUCCAGGGUGCUUUCCAUGCCUCCUGAUGUGCGCCUUCCCUUGCCCCUAUUUUACAGACGUGGGGACUGAGGCUCAGGGCGAUGGAAUGGCUAGUGUUGGAAUGUUCAUGUGGGACAACCUGCCCCUUAGAACUUUAGAAGCAGUUGGAUGUGGCCACAGAAAGGGAGUCCCCAAAUGGAAUUAAUCUUGGCUGCUCUAUCAUGUGCUCAGCACUGUUACUUUGCUUCCUGUAAUCUGCAUGUUUAUUUGUGUCCAUAUUUGUCUCUCCUACUUGACCGUCCCUCCUGAAGGGCAGAGAAGGUGACUCACUCCUGUUGUCCCUGGCCCUGGUGGACACCCUAAGGCAGGAAGGAUCUUCUGGUCUGAGAUGUGAAAGCAAAGCCAGUGUGUCUGGUGGUGGAGAGUUAGUGGAGGGGAAAUACAGGGCAAGGCUGGAGAAAAAAGCAAGACCAGAUCACAGAGGACCCUGUAGGCCAUGGUGAGGGAUCUGCGUUUAAUUUUAAGGGCAAAAGGAAGCCACUUAAGGCUUUUGAACAGGGUCCUUACAUGUUACAACCAAGUAAUCUGGCUGUAGUGUGGAGAACAGAUUGGAAAGUAACCGUUGAAGCUCAGUGAGGAGCUGUCCCAGGAGAUCAGGCAUGAAAUGGGGGGGGGGGGGUCUCUCCAGGUCAGGGCUUCUCAGACUGGAAGACCCGUUAAAAGUACAGUUUGCUGGCCUCACCCUAGAGUUUCAGAUUCAGUAGAUCUGGUUGGGGGUGAGGUGAUGCUGAGAAUUUGUAUUUCUACCAAGGUCCCUCGUGAUGUAGAUGGUACUUGUCCCCGAGGACCGCUGGGGCUUUGGAAAGAGGAAAAAAAGGAUGAGUUAAGAGACAGUCUUGGAGUUCCCGUCAUGGCGCAGGGGAAAUAAAUCUGACUAGGAACCAUGAGGUUGUGGGUUCAAUCCCUGGCUUCACUCAGUGGAUUAAGCACCUGGCAUUGCCGUGAGCUGUGGUGUAGGUCGCAGGCAUAGCUCGGAUCCUGCGUUGCUGGGCUGUGGUGUAGGCUGGCAGCUGUAGCUCCAAUUGGACCCCUUGUCUGGGAACCUCCAUAUGCUGCAGGUGCGGCCCUAAAAAGC